GCUGAUUCCACCAGUGAGCACAGACCACCACCAUGGAGCUGGGGCUGUGCUGGGUUCUCCUUGUUGCUCUAUUGAAAGGUGUGCAGUGUGAGGUGCGGCUGGUGGAGUCUGGGGGAGGCUUGGUGAAGCCUGGGGGGUCCCUGAGACUCUCCUGUGCAGCCUCCGGAUUCGACUUCAGUAAUUACUGGAUGAGCUGGAUCCACCAGCCAAGGGGGAAAGGGCUGGAAUGGAUUUCAUACAUUAGUUAUAGUGGUACCAAAUACUACACAGACUCCGUGAAGGGCCGCUUCACCAUCUCCAGAGACAGCAGCAAGAACACACUUUACCUGCAGAUGAACAGCCUGAGAAUGGAGGACACGGCUGUCUAUUACUGUGCUAGAGACACACAGUGCAGGAAAUCCAGUGUGGGCCAGACACAAACCUCCCUGCAGGAUGUUCAGCAGCAGCAGGGGGCGCUGGGCUCACACUGA